rnacentral:tRNA from 1 species
ACUCCUAUAGCUUAAUCACAAAGCAUAGCACUGAAAAAUGCUAAGAUGAGCCCUAAAAAGCUCUAAGGGUA